UAGGGAAUCUUCCGCAAUGGGCGAAAGCCUGACGGAGCAACGCCGCGUGAGUGAUGAAGGUCUUCGGAUCGUAAAACUCUGUUAUUAGGGAAGAACAAAUGUGUAAGGAACUAUGCACGACUAGACGGUACCUAAUCAGAAAGCCACGGCUAACUACGUGCCAGCAGCCGCGGUAAUACGUAGGUGGCAAGCGUUAUCCGGAAUUAUUGGGCGUAAAGCGCGCGUAGGCGGUUUUUUAAGUCUGAUGUGAAAGCCCACGGCUCAACCGUGGAGGGUCAUUGGAAACUGGAAAACUUGAGUGCGGAAGAGGAAAGUGGAAUUCCAUGUGUAGCGGUGAAAUGCGAAGAGAUAUGGAGGAACACCAGUGGCGAAGGCGACUUUCUGGUCUGUAACUGACGCUGAUGUGCGAAAGCGUGGGGAUCAAACAGG
rnacentral:rRNA from 1 species